AGAGCCGUGUCUCUGUACAGUCAGAGGUUUUUGUACGGCGGUUCAAUGAGUUUGUAUCACUGUGGUACACGUUCGGUGGAGGAACCAGACUGGAUGUUAACUGAACAGGAUUGUUUGUGUUGAGUUUGUUGUGUUGAAAGUCAGAGAGCCGUGUCUCUCUACAGUCAGAGGUUUUUGUACGACGACUCAACCAGUUUGUAUCACUGUGGUACACGUUCGGUGGAGGAACCAGACUGGAGCUUGGAAGUGAUGUCCGUCCCACCCUGACGGUGCUGCCCCCCUCCACAGAAGAGCUGCAGCAGGGGAAGGCCACACUCAUGUGUCUGGCCAACAAGGGCUUCCCCUCAGACUGGAGUCUGUCCUGGAAGGUGGACGGCAGCAGCAG